rnacentral:rRNA from 1 species
GUAGGGUGCGAGCGUUAAUCGGAAUUACUGGGCGUAAAGCGUGCGCUGGCGGUCGUGCAAGACAGAUGUGAAAUCCCCGGGCUUAACCUGGGAAUUGCAUUUGUGACUGCACGGCUAGAGUGUGACAGAGGGGGGUAGAAUUCCACGUGUAGCAGUGAAAUGCGUAGAUAUGUGGAGGAAUACCGAUGGCGAAGGCAGCCCCCUGGGAUAACACUGACGCUCAUGCACGAAAGCGUGGGGAGCAAACAGGAUUAGAUACCCUGGUAGUCCACGCCCUAAACGAUGUCUACUAGUUGUCGGGUCUUAAUUGACUUGGUAACGCASUAACGCGUGAAGUAGACCGCCUGGGGAGUACGGUCGCAAGAUUA